rnacentral:rRNA from 1 species
GACGAACGCUGGCGGCGUGCUUAACACAUGCAAGUCGAACGGAAAGGCCCUGCUUUUGUGGGGUGCUCGAGUGGCGAACGGGUGAGUAACACGUGAGUAACCUGCCCUUGACUUUGGGAUAACUUCAGGAAACUGGGGCUAAUACCGGAUAGGAGCUCCUGCUGCAUGGUGGGGGUUGGAAAGUUUCGGCGGUUGGGGAUGGACUCGCGGCUUAUCAGCUUGUUGGUGGGGUAGUGGCUUACCAAGGCUUUGACGGCUAGCCGGCCUGAGAGGGUGACCGGCCACAUUGGGACUGAGAUACGGCCCAGACUCCUACGGGCGGCAGCAGUGGGGAAUAUUGCACAAUGGGCGGAAGCCUGAUGCAGCAACGCCGCGUGCGGGAUGACGGCCUUCGGGUUGUAAACCGCUUUCGCCUGUGACGAAGCGUGAGUGACGGUAAUGGGUAAAGAAGCACCGGCUAACUACGUG